rnacentral:rRNA from 1 species
UGGCCGAACAAGUCCGUCGGGAAAUCCACGCGCUUAACGCGUGGGCGACCGGCGGAAACUGUUCGGCUUGGGGCCGGAGGACCCGAGGGGUACGUCCGGGGUAGGAGUGAAAUCCCGUAAUCCUGGACGGACCGCCGGUGGCGAAAGCGCCUCGGGAAGACGGACCCGACAGUGAGGGACGAAAGCUGGGAUCUCGAACCGGAUUAGAUACCCGGGUAGUCCCAGCCGUAAACGAUGCCCGCUAGGUGUGGCGCAGGCUACGAGCCUGCGCUGUGCCGUAGGGAAGCCGAGAAGCGGGCCGCCUGGGAA